UACGAAGGGGGCUAGCGUUGCUCGGAAUUACUGGGCGUAAAGGGCGCGUAGGCGGCACUGUUAGUCAGGCGUGAAAGUCCUGGGCUCAACCUGGGAACUGCGCUUGAUACGGCAGAGCUAGAGGAUGGAAGAGGCUCGCGGAAUUCCCAGUGUAGAGGUGAAAAUUCGUAGAUAUUGGGAAGAACACCGGUGGCGAAGGCGGCGAGCUGGUCCAUUACUGACGCUGAGGCGCGACAGCGUGGGGAGCAAACAGG
rnacentral:rRNA from 1 species